UCAAGAAGCAGUUCUCCCGCUUCAUCGCUGCUGGCGUCAGCGCCGGUGAUCUCGAAGGUAUGUACGGUGACGCCCACAAAGCCAUCCGUGCUGAUCCCAACAAGAAGCGCGACGC
rnacentral:SRP_RNA from 1 species